rfam:Microgenomates bacterium GW2011_GWC1_44_9 TW80_C0053, whole genome shotgun sequence.
GCCGGGAUGGUGGAAUGGUUUACACGCAAGUCUUAAAAACUUGUGGGAGAAAUCCCAUGUGGGUUCGACCCCCACUCCCGGCA